rnacentral:rRNA from 1 species
GGUAGUGUAGUUAACACCUGCAUUAUUUGACGUUACCUACAGAAGAAGCACCGGCUAACUCCGUGCCAGCAGCCGCGGUAAUACGGAGGGUGCGAGCGUUAAUCGGAAUUACUGGGCGUAAAGCGCAUGCAGGCGGCCUGUUAAGUCAGAUGUGAAAGCCCGGGGCGUUAACCUCGGAAUUGCAUUUGAAACUGGCAGGCUAGAGUCUUGUAGAGGGGGGUAGGAAUUUCUAGGUGUAGCGGUGAAAUGCGUAGAGAUCUGAAGGAAUACCAGUGGCGAAGGCGGCCCCCUCGGACAAAGACUGACGCUCAGAUGCGAAAGCGUGGGGAGCAAACAGGAUUAGAUACCCUGGUAG